AGAAUCAACGCUGGCGGCGUGCCUAACACAUGCAAGUCGCACGAGAAAGGGGUAGCAAUACCUGAGUAAAGUGGCGCACGGGUGAGUAACACGUGAAUUAUCUACCUCCGAGUGGGGAAUAACUGAGAGAAAUCUUAGCUAAUACCGCAUAACACUUACGAGUCAAAGCAGCAAUGCGCUUGGAGAGGAGUUCGCGGCAGAUUAGUUAGUUGGCGGGGUAAUGGCCCACCAAGACGAUGAUCUGUA
rnacentral:rRNA from 1 species